rnacentral:pre_miRNA from 1 species
AAUGUACCCCUCCGUUCCAUAAUUCUUGUCGAAAUAUUACAUGUAUCUAGAUGUUUUUUAGACGAUUUUUAGGAAUAGAUACAUCUAUUUUUUAGCAAAUUUGAGACAAGAAUUAUGGAACGGAGGGAGCAGUUA